rnacentral:rRNA from 1 species
UCUGGUGCUUAUAGAGAAGGUGGUACACCUGUUCCCAUCUCGAACACAGAAGUUAAGCCCUUCAUCGCCAAUGGUACUUUAAGGUUCGCCUUAUGGGAGAGUAGGACAGCGCCGACG